UAGGAGUACUAAUCGAAGCCGAGGGAAAUGAUCGGGCUGAUAUUCAACUUCCUGGUUACCAGCAACAAUUAAUAGAGGACGUGGUUAACAAUUGUGGUGCAGCUGAAGUAAUUUUAGUAAGUUUAAAUGCUGGGCCUGUAAACAUCACAUGGGCAGAUCAGAAUCCAAAAGUAUCCGCCAUUCUAGCAGUAUUCUAUCCCGGACAAGCUAUAGGGGUUGCUAUCAAAAAUGUUUUGACCAGUUCCAACCAACCACAGUUUGGUAGAUUGCCUUAUACAUGGUACCACACAGAAAACCAGGUUCCGGCCAUGGUUAACUAUACAAUGGUAAGCAGAACGUAUAGGUAUUUUACUGGCGAACCACUUUAUCCUUUUGGUUAUGGCUUGACCUACACAUCUUUCGGA